AAAUUGAAGAGUUUGAUCAUGGCUCAGAUUGAACGCUGGCGGCAGGCCUAACACAUGCAAGUCGAACGGUAACAGGAAGCAGCUUGCUGCUUCGCUGACGAGUGGCGGACGGGUGAGUAAUGUCUGGGAAACUGCCUGAUGGAGGGGGAUAACUACUGGAAACGGUGGCUAAUACCGCAUAACGUCGCAAGACCAAAGAGGGG
rnacentral:rRNA from 7 species